UCAAGCGACUAAGUGUAUGUGGUGGAUGCCUUGGCGAUUACAGGCGAAGAAGGACGUCGCAGCCUGCGAAAAGCCGUGGGGAGCUGGCAAGCGAGCACUGAUCCACGGAUGUCCGAAUGAGGGAACUCACCCGCAAGGGUAUCUUGAAGUGAAUACAUAGCUUCAAGAGGCGAACGCAGCGAACUGAAACAUCUAAGUAGCUGCAGGAAAAGAAAUCAACCGAGAUUCUGAAAGUAGCGGCGAGCGAAAUUGGAAGAGCCUGCAAGUGAUAUUGAAUUCGAUACUGGAACGGUCUGGAAAGUCCGGCUACAGAGGGUGACAGCCCCGUACGGGAAAUUGGGUUCAAGGUACUGAGCUUGCGAGAAGUAGAGCGGGACACGUGAAAUCCUGCUCGAAGAUGGGGGGACCAUCCUCCAAGGCUAAAUACUCGUAAUCGACCGAUAGCGAACCAGUACUGUGAAGGAAAGGUGAAAAGAACCCCGGGAGGGGAGUGAAAUAGAUCCUGAAACCGCAUACAUACAAACAGUAGGAGCCCGCAAGGGUGACUGCGUACCUUUUGCAUAAUGGGUCAGCGACUUACGUUCAAUGGCAAGCUUAACCGAGUAGGGGAGGCGCAGCGAAAGCGAGUCCGAACAGGGCGACAUGAGUCGUUGGGCGUAGACCCGAAACCAGAUGAUCUAUCCAUGGCCAGGCUGAAGGUGUGGUAACACACACUGGAGGGCCGAACCGACUAGUGUUGCAAAAUUAGCGGAUGAGCUGUGGAUAGGGGUGAAAGGCUAAACAAAUCUGGAGAUAGCUGGUUCUCCCCGAAAACUAUUGAGGUAGUGCCUCGUGUAUGGCUCCAGGGGGUAGAGCACUGUUAUGGCUAGGGGGACAUGGCGUCUUACCAAACCAUGGCAAACUCCGAAUACUUGGAAGUCUGAGCACGGGAGACAGAGCACCGGGUGCUAACGUCCGGACUCAAAAGGGAAACAACCCAGACCGCCGGCUAAGGUCCCUAAUAUUGACUAAGUGGAAAACGAAGUGGGAAGGCUAAGACAGUCAGGAAGUUGGCUUAGAAGCAGCCAUCCUUCAAAGAAAGCGUAAUAGCUCACUGAUCGAGUCUUCCUGCGCGGAAGAUGUAACGGGGCUAAGUCAAUAACCGAAGCCGCGGAUUCGCAGCAAUGCGAGUGGUAGGGGAGCGUUCUGUAAGCCUGCGAAGGCGGAUCCGUGAGGACCGCUGGAGGUAUCAGAAGUGCGAAUGCUGACAUGAGUAACGUUAAAGCGGGUGAAAAGCCCGCUCGCCGCAAGCCCAAGGUUUCCUGCUCUACGUUCAUCGGAGCAGGGUGAGUCGGCCCCUAAGGUCAGGCUGAGAAGCGUAGCUGAUGGGAAGCUGGUUAAUAUUCCAGCACCGAUUUCAAGUGCGAAGGGGGGACGGAGUCCUGAAGGUCAUCCGGGUGUUGGACAUCCCGGUUUACGAGCGUAGGAGGUUGACAGGCAAAUCCGUCAACGGAUCUCCAAGGCGAAGGAUCGAGGUUGAGAGAUCAACUGAAGUGACUGAAUGGGCUUCCAGGAAAAGCCUCUAAGCAUCAGCUUGGAAUUGACCGUACCGCAAACCGACACUGGUGGGCGAGCUGAAUAUGCUCAGGCGCUUGAGAGAACUCAGGAGAAGGAACUCGGCAAAUUGACACCGUAACUUCGGGAUAAGGUGUGCCUUUGUAGUGUGAAGGGAGAAACACCCCGAGCAUGAAGAGGCCUCAGAGAAUCGGUGGCUGCAACUGUUUACUAAAAACACAGCACUCUGCAAAGAUGAAAGUCGACGUAUAGGGUGUGAUGCCUGCCCGGUGCUGGAAGAUUAAUUGAUGGGGUGCAAGCUCCUGAUCGAAGUCCCAGUAAACGGCGGCCGUAACUAUAACGGUCCUAAGGUAGCGAAAUUCCUUGUC
rnacentral:rRNA from 1 species